UGAAGGGUAAACUGGGAUGUACUAUAUUCACAUUUGUCAACAUAUAUUCCCCAAACAGACACCAAUGUAGGCAUAUCAAGAAAUGUCUAACGUCAAAAGAAAACUUCACAGAGGGAAUUUUGGUCAUGGGAGGGGACUGCAACAUAACUCUGGACUCAGCCCUCGACACAACCUCCUCAGUGAUGACUCACCAGAAUCAUACCAGACAAACUAUUUUGAGCCUCCUAGAUAAAUCCCAACUGGUGGAAUGCUGGAGCAUCGCCAACCCCCAAGAUAGGGACUACUCCUUUUACUCCCCAGCUACCCACACAUACUCAAUACUAGAUAUGUUUUUUCUACCUCACAGAUUUCUACACCUUAUCAAAUCCUGUUUCUAUGGCCCAAUCACAUGGUCAGACUAUGCUCCUUUAACACUGAUUAGCCAGGUACCCUCAUUACAAAUAAAAACCUUCCAAUGGAAGCUAAAUAACCUAAUGCUUAACGACACAGUCGCAAUACACCAAAUACAGUCUGAGAUUAAACACUACUUCCAAGACAAUGCUACACCCGAAACUGCCCCACCAGUUAUCUGGAAGGCCCACAAAUGUGUAAUCAGAGGCCACCUAAUAGCUAUAGCGUCCCGAUACAAGAAGAGCUGCGAAGCCCAAGUUAAAACACUAACUGAAGAGAUCAGUGUGGCGAAACCGAC